rnacentral:snoRNA from 2 species
AAAAAAGCAGUGGUCUGGUUCCUAUAUGAGCCGUCCACCCGUAACAUUCAGGGAUAUAAACUCAUUGUUAUUGGGUGAACCUAUGUCUUGUCUUUGUGAUACGUGAUUGAAGGUUCAGUAAACGAUGGAAUAUUU